GUCUCACUCUGAUGUUGGAAACAAUUAAAAGUUUUCAACUUCUCUGCGAUAAAUCAGUUCCUAAAUUCCAUGGAUUGUUGUGAAUCGUUUCCAAAGUUAUUUAUCAAUCUCUUUAUUUAUACACUAAUAAUUUCAUACCCAUUGAUUUUAACGCUAAUUUUUUUGUUAAAUUUUUUGUUGUACAUUGAGUAGGAGCCGAGAAUUAAUCUCUUAAUUGAUUACAAACUUGAGAUCCGAUUUAUUCGAGCAUUACAGAAGAUAGGGACGAAGACGAUUGUAGUUAUGAAAAAUCAUAAAGUGUAUGAGUGGUUUCACACACAAAGCUGGAAACGGAUCAAAGUUUCCAACUUCAAUCUAAGAAAUUCGCUCCUCAAUCACCCUGAUUUGUGUGCUGAUUAGUAAUAUUCGGAUAAAUCCACGAAAUCAUGUAGGUAUUCGUUUCCUAUUUUAUUCUUCAUUCUCUCUAUUUCUGCAAAAAAAAUAGGGAUAAAGGUAUGGAUUUCCCUCUUUGAAAUCGCAUAAAAUGAUAUGGAUAUCCUUCAUUGGAAUCAGUUGUUUCUUUUAACCCAUCCGUGAUGCCUCCACCACUCCGGCAAUUUAUUCAGUCUCUACAUUGCAAUCCCUCUUCUCUGAUUAACUGGUCAUCCACAUGAUUUAGGGUUUCUUUGAAGAAAGUAACUUUACCAAAAUACAAGGUAAAUGCAUCAACCUUUUCCUAUUGAAAAAUUUUAUUUUCCAUUUAUCGGAAUUCGAUUUCGAUUUUCUGGAUUUAUGUUUUCUUAUUUUUGUUGAAACUGAUUCUGUUUUUAAAUCGCCUUUAACGAUUUUGAACUUUAGAUGACCAAUUAAAGAACCACAAGUGUUGAUUGGUUAUUUUCAUCUAUAUUUUGUUGUUUAAUUAUGUGAAUCUAACAGGAGUAAUUGAAGCAAAUGAUCUACAAAAAGAGUAAGGAUCUUCGUAUCUUGGAAUAAAAAUUUAUUGUUCAAAUGCAAAAGAAUUAGAAGUCCUGGUGAUACCCUUAUUAAUGAUAUAUGUAAGUAUAUUGAUUUGAUUUAGGACAUAUUGUGCUGAAAUUGCAUACAAUGUAUCUACAAGAAAAAGGAAGAAUAUAGUGGGAAAAGCAGCACAGUUGGAUAUUAUGGUUACUAAUAAGUUCGAGAGGUUGAGUAUCCAAGAAGACGAGUAAAACUAUGACUUAUAGUUGUUCCGAUGCUCAUGAACUAAAACUGGAGAAGAAGCAACGUCAUGAAACAGUAGCAAACAUGCUUUAGGCGAUAUGAAGAAGGUACUCCCUUUAAAGAUACCAAGCUUAGUUAAGAAGAAAAAGCUCACAGAGUUUGUACCUUUGUUGAUGGGUAGAAAGUUGAAACCUUAUGAAAAAGUGAUAAUUGGACCUAAAGUUACAAAAUUUUAUUUUAAAGAAAAUCAUCCAAUAAAUAAUUAAUAAUUAUUGGUUGCUAUUUGUCAUCAAAUUUCAUGUAAAAAAAUCAAAUCUAGAAAAAAAGAGCAAAAAGAGAACAAGUUAUUUUCACAACCUAUUUCUACAAAGGUGGUUGCUAUAACAGACUAACUUUUCAAUCUUGGUUGCUAUUUAUUGUAAAAUUUCAUGCAACAAACGACCAAAUCCGAAAAAUGACAAAAAAAUGAAACAAGUUCUUAUCACAACCUAUUUCUACAAAGUUGGUUGCUAUUAUAGACAAACUUUACAGUCUUGGUUGGUAUUUAUUGUAAAAUUUUCAUGUUAACAAAGAACCAAAUCUGAAAAAAAUGAAGUAAAAAAAAUGGAACAAGUUGUUAUCACAACCCAUUUCUACAAAGAUGGC